rnacentral:rRNA from 1 species
CCUACGGGAGGCAGCAGUGGGGAAUCUUGCGCAAUGGGGGAACCUUGACGCAGCAACGCCGCGUGGGUGAUGAAGGCCUUCGGGUCGUAAAGCCCUGUCAGGUGGGAAGAAACAUGUCGGUGCUAAUAUCACCGAUGUUUGACGGUACCGCCGGAGGAAGCACCGGCUAACUCCGUGCCAGCAGCCGCGGUAAUACGGAGGGUGCAAGCGUUGUUCGGAAUUACUGGGCGUAAAGCGCGUGUAGGCGGUCGGGCAAGUCAGAUGUGAAAGCCUUCCGCUCAACGGAAGAAGUGCAUUUGAAACUACCCGGCUGGAGUACGGGAGAGGAGAGUGGAAUUCCCGGUGUAGAGGUGAAAUUCGUAGAUAUCGGGAGGAACACCAGUGGCGAAGGCGGCUCUCUGGUCCGAUACUGACGCUGAGACGCGAAAGCGUGGGGAGCAAACAGGAUUAGAUACCCUGGUAGUCCACGCCGUAAACGAUGGGCACUAGGUGUAGGAGGUAUUGACCCCUUCUGUGCCGAAGUUAACGCAUUAAGUGCCCCGCCUGGGGAGUACGGCCGCAAGGUUAAAACUUAAAGGAAUUGACGG